rnacentral:misc_RNA from 1 species
GACGUAGGGGGCGAGCGUUGUCCGGAUUCAUUGGGCGUAAAGGGCGAGUUGGUGGCUCAGUAAGUCGGAUGUGAAAACUCCAGGCUCAACCUGGAGAGGCCAUCCGAUACUGCUGUGGCUAGAGUCCGGUAGGGGUCUGUGGAAUAUCCGGUGUAGCGGUGAAAUGCGCAGAUAUCGGGUGGAACACCAGUAGCGAAGGCGGCAGACUGGGCCGGAACUGACACUGAAUCGCGAAAGCGUGGGGAGCAAACAGG